rnacentral:lncRNA from 1 species
UCAACUUUUAUGAAAUUGUGGAUAAAUUCGAGCUCUCAUCGCACUGACCCGUCUAAGUUUGAAGGUUACCUGAAAGUAGCAGACAAACAGAGAGUGAGUUUAUAACUCAGUGUGUAACUUAACAGAAAUAGAUUCACAAAUUUAAUACAUAACAUACACUGACAAAUGUCUCAUGCAGAAUCAGAGUCAUAUGCAAAUUACAAUCCUACCCCCAUCCGUUACACACCAUCUUCGACCAUCCUAACACACCAUGUGAGGUACAAAACACCUACUCAGCCCUACACACCAGUUAGUGUCCUUACGACACUUUUCAAAAAAAUUGCAGCAGUGGUGCCAGUAUAUUGGCGAGUCAUUGCCUCACAUAGAACACUUCCUCCUCAUAAUACAUAACCCGCCCCAUAAUUAGAUACAGAUAGAAAACCAGAUAUAACAGAAUAACAGAUACCAGAAUGUAUAUCACAUGCAUGCUCGCAUAACAGAUAUUAAACAUGCUCAUACAUAACAGAUCAAACAUAUAACAUCUCAUUACAUGUACUUAGGUGUUGUUUACAUUAAAUUCAUACUAUCAAAUUAGCAAAUUUCAUGCUUUAGGGCUUAUAUAAACACGUAUUGACCCCACGGAAGACCCACAGUCGAUCGAGACGACGUGUACGACUCUAGGGAAAAUUUUUGAAAUUUGGGCCCACACAUGCCACAUGCCUGUGUGGCCCACACGACCCAAAAUGGCCUAGGCCGUGUCACACGGCCAUGUGGCGUCGACAAGCUUCAAUUUUAAUUUUUGCCGAUCGCUAUUUUUUGAGUUUUUCGUUACUCACCUUGACUUUUUUUAUGCAAAUCCACCCACAAAGCUUCCAUAUCCUAAAACGUCAAUAAACACACCGAAAUUAAGAACAAUUCAUGAAACUUGUAUCAAGAAUUAUUCACAAACAACCUCACAUGGCCCCAAAAUAUUCGAACACCUACUGAUAAAGCAAACAACAAUUAACGAUACCUAAGUCGUUGGAGUAACGCCAAGCGUCGUUCAAUCCUCUCCUAAAACCACAUAAUACCAAUUAACCAAACACCCAGAGAAGAAAUCAACCCUUACGAUUCAAACUCAGUAUCCAAAUGGAACCAAAAAUACCAUACUAUCGAAAGAAAAAAUUACACACUUACCCUACGAAUUAGAAAUACCCAAAAAAUAUCGAACAAGAGAUUAAUCACCACACCCGCGUGAAUACUUGAAUCCAAAAAGAAAUACAAGCCCCCCACCAAACAGUUUUUGACGAAAAAUAGUAAAAAGAAUUAAUUCGAGAGGGAAAAGGCAUAAAAAAAAAGAACAAAGAACAAUUUGCAAAACUCCACUUGACAGCACUUGGAACGUGAAACGUGGGUAGUGAUUUUAGGAGAAAAAAAAUAUAAUAGUUUCCAAAUAAAACAAAAACCUAACCCCUAACUUCCUGAUAUCUCAACAACUAUUUUAAGAGUUUUAAUCCAAUUCCAACACCACCAAUAUGAACAACACACCAAGGAUUAACAAAAAUAAUCACACUUUAAUCACAUAGGAGAUUCGAACUCUAAACCCGUAUCACAACCGCUAAAGCAGGCACUCAAUUAAUGUCUGAAUUUAACAAAGCCGAACUUAAGAUUUUUAGGGCGUUACAUACUAAAUCAUCAAAUAGAUUUAAACAUACUUAAGAAUUAUAGACGUACCUCAUUGUUCGACGAGUUCUUUAGUCUACAUAUAGUUGUUAGUCCAUCAAUUUAUCAAACAAAUCAACAUGCCAUCACAAUUCAAACAUCUAAUCAUUUAAUCAAGCAGUUAUAAAAUAUUCAGAAGAAAAAAAAUACAAAUUAAUCAACAGUCUUUAUGUUCAAUUUACAACCCAUCACCAUUUGUUAAAAAAUUUUAAGUCUAAUCUAGUCCCUUGGAAUAGUCCCAUUUUGCCUUUCUUAUUGAGGUUUGGAAACAUGACACAUACUCAGGAAAUUUGCCUUGCAAUGGAUCACUAGAAAUCCCCACUUCUUAAUGCCUCAUGAGCUACUUUUCUGUACAACGAAAAUAAGGAGUGUGAGCUUAUUGAAGCUCAGUGAGUGCACAAAAUAUGCUACAAGUGAACACAUCAAUCAUGUUAAAAGUAAGCAUGCUAUACAAUUUGUACAAAAGUACAACUUGGAUGAUAACAAAGACAUAAUAGCUCGCAAUAAAUUACAAUGUCAUAUAGCUCGCAUGAUAAAAUCAGUUUGCAUAACAUAACACAAUCAUAACAUAUAAUAUCAAUAUAUUGGCAAUUUGUGACUGUGGAACAUAAUCAUAAAACAUAUUCAUUGGAUAAUCGAAUCUCCAUUCACACCCAAUAACUCAUAGAGUCCUGCACUAUCUCCAGCAAAUGUAGCACAAGUGCACACUCCCCAAACACACCAUGCUAUCUACGGUGAAUGGAGUUAUACUUUAUAUUCCUUUAUCUCUCUAAUGCUAUCUUCGGGCCACAAUGCCCUAUCACAAUAUAAAUGAGAGUACUCACAAUCCUAUGGCAUGACAAUAGAUCUCGCAUGUAACUUAGCUCACAAUUAUUCAAUAGUUCGUAUAAACAAAGCAUAUCUCACAUAUAAUCUUAAUUCGCAUAUGGGAUAGCUCGCAUAUAUCAUAAAGUUUCACAAUACACAGCUCACAUAAAUAAGGCUUGGUUCAUAAUACAGUAAAAAAUUGCAACAAAUAUAUAAGCAUAAAUUACAUAUGAAUACUUACUCCUAAAAAUUCGGUUAAAUGGUUACACCACCUAAGCUUACCAUUAAUACUUGACGUGUGACUGCACUAUGUAAUGCACACACCUAUCAUGGCUUUUUUGCUUUACCGAGCCUAGGUAAACUUCAGCUUGCCUUUGUCUUUGCUUGAGGAAACUCCUUCGCGAUCUGAUG